UACGGAGGGGGCUAGCGUUGUUCGGAAUUACUGGGCGUAAAGCGCACGUAGGCGGACUGGAAAGUCAGAGGUGAAAUCCCAGGGCUCAACCUUGGAACUGCCUUUGAAACUAUCAGUCUGGAGUUCGAGAGAGGUGAGUGGAAUUCCGAGUGUAGAGGUGAAAUUCGUAGAUAUUCGGAGGAACACCAGUGGCGAAGGCGGCUCACUGGCUCGAUACUGACGCUGAGGUGCGAAAGCGUGGGGAGCCAACAGG
rnacentral:rRNA from 1 species